ACAUGCAAGUCGAGCGGUAACGGGUCCAGCUUGCUGGAUGCCGACGAGCGGCGGACGGGUGAGUAAUGCAUAGGAAUCUGCCCAAUAGUGGGGGAUAACCUGGGGAAACCCAGGCUAAUACCGCAUACGUCCUACGGGAGAAAGCGGGGGCUCUUCGGACCUCGCGCUAUCGGAUGAGCCUAUGUCGGAUUAGCUGGUUGGUGAGGUAACGGCUCACCAAGGCGACGAUCCGUAGCUGGUCUGAGAGGAUGAUCAGCCACACCGGGACUGAGACACGGCCCGGACUCCUACGGGAGGCAGCAGUGGGGAAUAUUGGACAAUGGGCGCAAGCCUGAUCCAGCCAUGCCGCGUGUGUGAAGAAGGCUUUCGGGUUGUAAAGCACUUUCAGUGGGGAAGAAAGCGUGCCGGCCAAUACCCGGUACGGACGACAUCACCCACAGAAGAAGCACCGGCUAACUCCGUGCCAGCAGCCGCGGUAAUACGGAGGGUGCGAGCGUUAAUCGGAAUUACUGGGCGUAAAGCGCGCGUAGGCGGCUGAGUAAGCCGGUUGUGAAAGCCCCGGGCUCAACCUGGGAAUGGCAUCCGGAACUGUUUAGCUAGAGUGCAGGAGAGGAAGGUAGAAUUCCCGGUGUAGCGGUGAAAUGCGUAGAGAUCGGGAGGAAUACCAGUGGCGAAGGCGGCCUUCUGGACUGACACUGACGCUGAGGUGCGAAAGCAUGGGUAGCAAACAGGAUUAGAUACCCUGGUAGUCCAUGCCGUAAACGAUGUCGACUAGCCGUUGGGUCCCUUGAGGACUUAGUGGCGCAGUUAACGCGAUAAGUCGACCGCCUGGGGAGUACGGCCGCAAGGUUAAAACUCAAAUGAAUUGACGGGGGCCCGCACAAGCGGUGGAGCAUGUGGUUUAAUUCGAUGCAACGCGAAGAACCUUACCUACCCUUGACAUCCUGCGAACCCUCCGGAGACGGAGGGGUGCCUUCGGGAGCGCAGAGACAGGUGCUGCAUGGCUGUCGUCAGCUCGUGUUGUGAAAUGGUUGGGUUAAGUCCCGUAACGAGCGCAACCCUUGGCCCUAUUUGCCAGCGAUUCGGUCGGGAACUCUAGGGAGACUGCCGGUGACAAACCGGAGGAAGGUGGGGGACGAAGUCAAGUCUUCUUGGGCCUUAAGGGUAGGGGUACACACGUGCUCAAUGGGCGGGACAAAGGGUGCAACCCCCCGAGGGGGACCAACUCUUAAAACCGGGUCACUCCCGGAUGGAAGUUCGACCUCGCUCCCCGGAGUCGGAACCCCUUUAAUCUGGAUCCAAAAGUCCCGGGAAAAUUUUCCGGGCUUGGACACCCGCCGCCCACCAUCGAGUGGAUUGCCCCA
rnacentral:rRNA from 1 species